UUUUGAAAAUGAUACUUGUAUUAUUUAUUUUUUUUUUAAUCUGAAGACAUUUUUAUUUCAGAUCAAGAUAUAAAUGAUAAGAUAGAUUCAUGCACCAUAUUGACACCAGAAGAGACUGGAAAGAACGCAAUGAAGCAUUUCGCAGAUUUUUUCUCGAUGGACUGGUCCUGGCCUGACCAUGACACAUUAUUUGAGGAUUGGUGCGCCAUGGAUGAAGAAAAACAGGAUGAAGUAUUUAUAGAAGCUGUUCAGUAUGCAACAGAAGUUGCUGCAG